rnacentral:lncRNA from 1 species
UGAAUUGAAAAAUGUAUCUCUUGCAUUUCUCCUUGAACAUGUAAAUACCGUUUAUGGUGUCUGUCACAAUUGACUAAAGCACAGACACUACAUGGUUUAGUGACAUGAUGCAAAAGUUUUUGCUAAAAUCAGUUUCUCUCCCCCCAACAAUUCAGUUUGUAGGCUCUCCCAGAAAGGAGUAAUAGUGCGUAAAGAAGGCCAAGAGAGAGAUUAGACUGUUUUGCCACGGUAUAUACUAGGAGUUUAUAACCGUGGAGCUGCUGAGUCGAUAAACCGUUAGAAUGUUGCGACAGACGACGGAAAGCGCGCGGAGCCGCGUGAAGGUAUGCGCUCAGGUCGAAGGUCAAAGAUGAGGAGCACACGCCACGGGAGAGGGGAUGGAUCUAGUGAUGUGCGACGCUGGGAGAGAGAGGUAGGCCUACCUUCCAUACGCGAUGAAAGAUUUAUCGCCGACAAUAUAGUUAGUGUAUUUACCCGGCUCCACGUUCUCGAGUCCGUCUACAUAUUCCAUUCAUUCAAUCAAUGAUUCAUUCAAUCAAGGCAGCAAAUGGAUGCUGAGUGAGGUACGGACUCGAUCAGAUGUUUUCGUUUUUAUUUUUUUUGGAUUAACUAACCGUGCACCUGAAAGAUACAUUUACAGUAUGCAAUAAUGCUACACGCCUUGGCGCUUCUCUCCAGGAGCGUCGGUCGGGUGCGAGCGGACUGACUAGGCUACGCAUUGAAUCGAUGGGGAGGGGGGGGGGGACGCGUCGCCGCAAUAGCAGUCCUCGCUAUCAUUAUAGACAGUGAAUUUAAAGUGCUCCUCACGGUUAUUGUACACAGAGCACUUAUUUGCAAAUUUGGCGCCGUGCUGGAGAGGGGACAUGAUGACAAACACGGUGCGCACUGUAAGAAAUUGAUCCAAAAAAAAAGAAUAAAGGGACGCGGGUUCCGGAGCGUCGCCGGCUGUUCUGCUCGUCCGCCGACCUCUCCCCGCAGAUGUAGUUAUCGCUGCGCUGUCAGCAGCUCGUGGGAGCGAAGGGCGCGCGCGCACGCCGAGAUGUCGGCGGGGAGCCCGACGCCCCCGUCGCGCGACUCUUUCUGUGUCGCGCGUCCUGAACGAGGGGACCAGGGCUCCGCUUGGUCUGGAACCGGGACCGGGGCCGACACGGACACGGACCCCGACUCCGACGUGGACAUGGACAUGUUCUGGUACAGAGUACCGGCGACACUCUCACUCAGUCAGUCAGUGUGUCUGAGAUCUAGAUGGAUGGCAGUGACAUCGCCGGUCGUGUGUUCCUCUGAUAAUCAUGUGUAAAAUAAUGAUUUAUUAGUUAUUAUUAUUUGUUCCUUAUUUGGUGCUUAUUACAAUGCUGUGUGAUUAACAGUAAAUUGGAUCACAAAUUAGUUUCUCGAGAUUUGCAGCAGCAGGUCUGCGCUCUGAAACGCUGAUGGAAGCAAAUAGCCGGGGACCAGCUGUAUAAAUAAGAAUUUGUCUUAAAAUAAGAUCUGAAGUCUUUUUGCUUCUCUUGUCCUGUAAUUUCAAAGGUAUCCAGAGCAUUAGAGCUGAAAAAUUAUUUUUUUAUUAUUAUUAUAAGAGGAGCUACCAUCAUAAGAUACAGUUUGUAUAACUGUCUACUUACAGUUAGUUCCCCAUUAUAAUACAGGAGGGUAUUUGCCAUACAAGUGAACUGCUAAAUGAAUGAAUGUAAAGGUAAAUUGUUCUGAUGGUGUGUUAAUAUUGUAUUACGGACUCCAGUGAUCACAUGUUGUCACUAUAGCUGUCACCGUGUCCAGGAUUCUCUUCUGAGCUCUGAUAGCCGCUUCACAGACUACAGAGGGAUCCUCAACUGGAUCAUCAUUCUGCUGGUGAGCUUGUGUCUCUCACUCACUGUGUAAACACACUAUUUUGUUGAAGAUCGUAGAGAAUAUUGGUGGUCUUCAAAGCUCGGGUUGAUGAUUGAGGUGUUUGGUUGUUCGACUGGUGAUGAAACAUUCGCAACCUAAAUGCCAAGCUCGGCGAACAACCAAACACCUCAACACUCUUUCGUCCAUAAGUGAGGUGUACCGAGGUCUCCUUCCUCAUUCCAUCAUUGGGGUCUGCUGAUGCCAACCCCUGCCCUCUCAUUUUGAUGUGUCCAUUUCCUGUUUUUGGAAAGUGAUAGUUUUACUGCAAACAAAAUAGACUUGCAGCUGCAAAUGAAUUUAGUCUUUUCUCGACAUGCCAGCCAAGCGUUUCUUUGUAGACUCAAGACUGCCGCCGAAUACCGCACUUCCAAAAACCUGAAGGCCAAUAGUAAAAACUUUUUCUAGGUCUC